rnacentral:lncRNA from 1 species
AUGCAUCGCCUUGUUUCGCCCACAUGUCAGUUGGAUAAUACGAAAGGAUUAAAAAAAAAUGUUCGUAGGUGCCGUCAAUUAGCCUGAGAUCAGAAGAACGAACGCUCAAUACCCUCGGCCGUAGGUGCCGCCCGCGCCGCCGUCGACUGCCCCCUCGGCCGUCCGUGCCGCCAGCGCCGCCCCCGACUGCCCGGGCGAGGGUCCUUAGAUCCGGCGAGUUGGGAGUGUGGGCGCCAUCUUCCAGAUCCUGUCCAAGUCGCCGCCAGCGCUGACGAGCCAAUCGCCAACUGUCGUGCGUAGGAGUCAGCCACCGACCGCCGUUUCUGCAACAAUCACUUCUCGUUGCCCCGCCUCAACAUCGGCCCAGUUAGGUACGUCUCAGGUGAAAAUCUGAAUUUGAUCUGUUCAUGAACGCUUGAGCGUACAGAGAGAAAUAAGAUGGUUUUCUCCUUGAUAUUGUUUUU